CACAAAUAGAAUCUCCUCAUAGAUCAAAAAUCUCAUCCUCCAAAGCAGAAUAUUCAUUUGAGUUAGUGUUCUAUUAAACAUUAUAGACUUACUAUUUAACAAAUUAUAUGCAUAUAUUAAUUAAACAAUUAAGUAGCCUGCAUCUCCAACAAAAGUACAUGUGCAUAUGAAUGGUGCAAAACUCCACCAUGCUCACCUGAGAAAGGAAGCAGCGUUUAGGUUUAGCACCAUCAAUCGCCAAUAGAUUCUCCUUGCUCCGAGGAAUGGUUCUUGACUUUCAGGGUCUUUUGGCUGUCGCUGAAGUAUUGGUUAGGAUGGUUAAUCCCAGCAUCACAUGAUAACCCAUGAAUAGCUUCAAAUGUCAAAGUGCACGCCAACUGAUAAUGUCUAUUUCGCACUUUGUCCAUUACAUCCUCCACUGCUCCGCCAUUUACUCCCAUUCUACAGAGUGCAGCCCUCAAGUUUUCCUCACUGAAAUGCCGAUAAGGGCAGCCAUGAUGAUCUCCAACACCUGGAGUUGAAGAGAUUAUCUUUUGACAAGAAUAAGGUGUAUAAUCUGUUCUCUUUCCCUCUCUUCCAUAAUUGUGGCGUAUGCUGUAGGCAUAUUCUUUGUCAAACCUCUCUCCACCAACCUUUUGGGAGAACUCUGCUUUCCAGAAUGCAAGAGCGUCAUCCAACUUCAAGCCAACACCCUUGAGAAAAAGGCCUAAUUGCAUCCUCCCUCCAUGCUUUAAAUGAUGAUCUUCUCUGAGUUUUUCAAACAGGUGGCGCAUGCAUAGAGGGAAUGAACUCUUAGCUACCAAGUCAAAGUCUUUAAUUGAUAUCUCAGCAAAUUCUUUAGGCUGAGAAUAGUCAGGACCCAGAUAGCUUGAGCAGAGUGCUUCCACAAUAGGAGUUAAGCGAUCCUUUUCCUGUUCUCUGAUCAUUGAUGUCCAUUUCCUGUUUGUUAGAAUGAGUGCCUUUGAUAGAAGACUUCGAAAUUGUGUAACAACAAGCGAAACAACCUGAUUCAUGGCAACAUAAGCAUGCCCUUUGCAGAUAAAAACCCUACGACCAGCUACAAGUUCUGGAACUUCUUCAAAUGGUACCUUGUAGAAUAUGACAUCAGAAGACAGUAUAGGCUGACCAAUCGAGCGUGUAACUUGAACCAAUUUUUCCUUUACACCCUCAAAUUCAGCCCUGGCAACCACCCUGUAUGGAAGUCCAAACUCUGCCAAUAGAGCCCUCUGAGCAUCAGCAGUCAAAAGGCGAAAUCUAUUGCGAAAGAGAGCAGUCUCCAUGGAAAGAAACCAUUUCCUGAGGUCCUCCGUUCUACAAUAAACUAGACGCAAAACAAAGUGGGAUAUAACAUCCUUGUUGAGGACUUCUAAUGCCUGUGGAUGCCUCAUAUUUAUUUUCCAUAGGUCAUUUACCAAUUUUUCCAUUUCUUCUGGCUUCUUCCCGCGGGACAAUCCAUCAGAGAUACCUUUGAGAACUCGAAGUCGAUCCAUGGCGUAGAGCUCGAAAUCUUCGAGUCUGACCUCAAGAGCAGGUGCAGAGCGAUAGAGAGGGAGUGUUGGAACGACGUCGUUGGAUGGAGGCUUCCACUGAGGUCGAACGAUCUCCAUUUUUCCAGCUUCUUAAUUUCGCUUUCUCUGAUAUUUCACACACAAUCUCAAAGUAGCAGCAGGAGGAGAGAACUGAGAG
rnacentral:misc_RNA from 1 species